AUAUUAAAUUCCUCCAAUGAGACAUUUAGAAUGAUCAGGACUGAAAGACUAUAUUGAAUUCACAGAGAAAGACUUAAAAGAUUAUUGUGUACAUGAUAUUAAAGCCAAGGGUUAAUUUUUCUUCUCAACCUCAUCCAGACAUCAGAGCCUAUCCUGAAACAUGAAAGUAGAGAAGUCUUAUAGUGUUUAUUUUAUGGGUUUUUUUUGUAUUUAUUUAUUUGUUAUCCACCCUUAAAGAGAGAAGCUGUAAGCAUAGAACAUAAAAUUGGGUGUAAUGUAAACAUCAGGGGUUAAUAGUCGGUUCCUUCUUUAUUUAGGCCUCUUAAUGCUCCUGAGUUUCCUUUUCCUAAUCUAGGAAAUGGAAUAAGAGUGCUUUCAAAUCCUUAGUUACAAAUGAAAUCAUAGAUAUUUAUGCUUUUUUCUACAGUUUAGUUAUAUAUCUCGUGUCACCCUUAUCCUCUAUAACAUAUGCAUAUAUAGCACUUUUUAAAUGCAGAUGGCACAGUCUCUAGAGCUAUAGAAUGAAGGUAGUAUUUAUCUCAGAAUUUCUAUAGCUCUGAUUACCUAAACACACUAAUAGAAAAAUUAGGCUAAGAAAAAAACAGCAACUAACCAAGAUAGUCUCAUAGUCACACUGGGUAUUGAAACUUCAGAAAAUGUAUUAACCAACCUAUAAUUACUUGGGGAAAGCCAAAAGGAAAUCAGAUAUAAAAGGUUAUUUUUACUUAUUUUAGUCCUUUGUCAUGACAUUUGCAAAUGUUGAUCCCUGAAAAUAGGAAGACAUACCUGGCUCAGUUUAUAAACCACUUUGCAUACACAUCUUCCUUGUUUUCUGACUGGAGCUGCAUUCGAAGACUAUUAUCCACAGGUCUCCCACGAUUCUGCAAACCUUAUGAGCAGAGGUGCUGACUGCCUUUGUUCCAGAGAUAGAGAUAGUGUUUCCCUCCUGAGCAAAAGGCAGGUUUGUUUAGUGUCCAUUAUAAUAAAAAUUGUGCCUCUCUCCAGGGCAAAGUUCAGGUGCGCUUACUGUCCAUCAUAAAAGACUUGAGUUCCCUAAGCUUUGAGUUUUUCUUCCAAAAUGCAACCUACUGUAUUCAUUCAAGUGUAACCUGACUGUCUUCAAGGCACCCUGUGGGAACUGGGCUCAGGGAAAUGCACAAAUGCCCAUACUCUG
rnacentral:lncRNA from 1 species